rnacentral:rRNA from 1 species
GGAAUUUUUCGCAAUGGGGGAAACCCUGACGAAGCAACGCCGCGUGGAGGAUGAAGGCCUUCGGGUCGUAAACUCCUGUCGACCGGGACGAAUGUGGUCUGGGCUAACACCCCGGGCCUUCGACUGUACCGGUGGAGGAAGCCACGGCUAACUCUGUGCCAGCAGCCGCGGUAAUACAGAGGUGGCAAGCGUUGUUCGGAAUUACUGGGCGUAAAGGGCGCGUAGGCGGUUCCAUAAGUCCUGCGUGAAAUCCCCCGGCUCAACCGGGGAAUGGCGCGGGAAACUGCGGGGCUUGAGAUCGGGAGAGGGAAGCGGAAUUCCGGGUGUAGCGGUGAAAUGCGUAGAUAUCCGGAGGAACACCGGUGGCGAAGGCGGCUUCCUGGACCGACACUGACGCUGAGGCGCGAAAGCUAGGGGAGCAAAC